rnacentral:lncRNA from 10 species
GCAAAUGGACUUUCCACUUGGCCAGUGCAGUCUUCUCUGCUCCUUACUGUACACGUGGCUGUCAAGGAGAAGAGAAGAAGGAGCUGCCAUUUUGAACAUGUCUAGUCCCAGGUAGCUUAUUCCUACUGGCACAGCUGCCGGCAUUCGCCUGCACAAGCUUCCAGCUUGCUUGUCUAUGUCUGCAGCUCGAUUUUACAGUCUGCUCUUUGUUAGAAAAGAAAAUGAUUUGGGGGCUGCUUUUCAUUAAAAGGAAAACCUUACCGAGGACUUCCGUACCCUCACUAUCUGCCUAAGUAAUUUCUUCUUAACAACUCCUGUAUCAGCGCCACUGCAACUCCAGCUUGGACAACAGGCUGGAGACCCUGUCUCCAAAAAUGAAAAAACAAAACAAGAGUCCAAUAUGGAAGUCAGUCAGGGGGCCUGAAUUCUUAGACUCAAAUGUGCUUCUGACAGACACGCUGGACUAAUAGAAGCGGAAAAGGAACACCAUGGAAACACCAGACGGGCUGGAGAGAUAAGCAAGCUUUGAAAUACCUGAACCUCGGUUAAAUAGCAAGUUCCAGUUUCUGUAUUUGCCUUCUAAAAUAUCAUGUCAGGAAUAACACAUGACAGGAUUUUUGUCGUGACUUUCCUAAAUUCUCACUGUGCCAAGCAAGCAAGAAAGUGCCCACAGGAGUGGGAGGGAAAAGACACAUGGGAUGGCAGCAAGGAAACCUGCCUAGAGGAGCCAGCCAUCCCGUCUGUCCCCUCACUUCCUUCCAGAGAGAACGUCUUUCCUUGACAGCGCCUGCCUCCUGUCAUUUCAUCCCAACACUUUGCCCAGCCCGGGAAAUCUGGAUUUUCUUUUUAAAGAAAGAUGUCUAGAGAGAAAAAUAGAAAAUGAACAGCCAAUAGAAAGUGCAACAGAGCUUGUUGAUUUGGUUCUGUCAGAUGCCCCAAGUGUUCGUGGUAAGCUGGAAAACUCUCCAUCCACUAGAGGCAGCCACAGCUCGGGAUGCUGAUAAAGUUCUGACACAGGGAGUGAGUGAUGAGUGGUGUGUAAAAGUUCUGACACAGGGAGUGAGUGAUGAGUGGUGUGUAACGUGCUGAAAACAGGAAGCUCUGACAACAAUGUGAAGAGGAACCUUCUGAACACAAAUUCUAUGGCUCCAAAUAAGCAAGUUAAUAGUCCUGAUAUCUUGACUUGAUCUACAGAAGAAACCCCACUCAGGAUAACUUUUACUUUUCUGGUGGAAGAGACAAUAAGAAUAAAGACUCACUAAACGGUAAUAAAAUCCUCUUUGACUUACUAAUUGGUUGGUAAUUUUGAAAUUUUCUAAUCUGAAUGUUUAACUCCAAAUAGUUUUCAUCCUGUCAUAUGUUACAGUAUUAACAGUUAUAGAAAAAGAACAGGAAUUAUUAGAAACAUUAAAACUAUUCAAAUCUAGGAAAUGUGGAUCUUAGGAUUUGUGUCAGGAAACCAACAACCUUAGGAUGUGCCCCACAGUUGGCUUUCCUGAACCGUGAUCCCAGAAUGCAAGAAGUCAACCCAAUACAAAUCCAUGCUUUCUGACAAUGGCAGAAAAUUUUUUGGCCAUUGUCCAUUGACUGACUCACAAGCUGUGACAAUGUCCCACCAUUACACUCCACCGACUCCCCCGCAAGGCUGUCACCUGUCUUUACCUGCAGCAGCUGCAUAUAUGCACACAUUUAAUAACACUUAGUGGGGGCAUGUUCUGUUCUAGAAACGGUGCCUGCUCCAAAGAUACGGUGGUGAACAAAAUAAAAAUGCUCCCUGUCUCUAUGGAACUCAGAGUCUAGCAGAAGACAAAGACACAAUGUGAAAUACACAUUUCAAUAAGUGCUAUGAAAGAUAGGUUGUACAGUGAUAUGAAAGGGAAUAACAAAGGGAUGCAAAAGAGUUAUGAAAGGCCUCUCUGAGGAAGUCAUGUUUAAGCUGAAAGGUGAAGGUUGCCUAUAAGAAGGUCAGGCAAAAGACAGGGUGUGUGAGUGGGGAAACAUUCUAGGCAGAGGUAACAGCAUAUGCAAGACCCCAUGGAAGAUUAGAAAAAGGAAACAGCACCAAGAUAUGACCUAUUUUCCUUAGAUGACUGAGGGAAUUCAAAUUCAAUGAAUACCUUCUUUAUCUUAAAAGCUAAAGCCUUUACAUUUAUUAUAAAUAGGGAUUUCUAUAAAUCCUGUCAACUCCCACUUAUCCUGUAUUCUCAAUCCUGUAUUUAUUCACCAACAUCUUUGAGCUGUUUUCUCUGGCCUUAUCCUUAUUCUUUCUAAGGUAUAUCUAUCUUUUUUAGCAACCCCGAUAAUUAGAUAGGAUAAUCUGUUGAGAUAUUAAUUUGUGAUUUGUAUUUCUGAUUUGUGCUAUAGAAGACUUGAAGGAUUAGAAGGGACUUUCCUCCUACUUCCUUCACUGGAAAGACAACCAGGCCUUUAUCUUCUAAGAUCUUUUUUCUAUUUUCAAGCAAUUAACAGUUUAUUUUUGUAUCAGAACAUCCUGUCCCAUCCCUCAAGAUCUGUUGCGCAAAAUGUAGGCCCAUCGGGAGGAAGAAAGUUGAGGAGAGGGGUGAUUUGCCUUGCUGGCAACUUAUUGACAUGUCUUUGCCAUGCUCCUACUCAGGAAAUUAGAUCCCAUGACCUAUAAAAUUCAGUCAAAACUGCAGCUAAACUCACACCCUCUGCUAUAUUGGACCUGAAGUCUCUGCAGCCAUUCUCCUCUAUUGCCACAUUCAUCCCCCGUACCAAGUCGUACCCCAUCAAUUCUGCCUGUCCCAUAAUUCAUCUCAAGCUUAUUUUCUUCUAUGCUGUUUCCCUUUCCCACUUUUUAAUUUCACCCUUAUUUUAAUCUCUCAUUUUCCUGUUGUUUCAUAGUGAAACCACUUUGCAAAAUUAUAACUGAGGAAACUAUGACAGUGAAAGACAUCAGACCUAACUGAUUCCAUCUUGCUUCUAACGUUUAAGCUGUCCUUGUUCUUUCCUGGGCAUAGGCCAAACUAACUUUGGGAAGGAAUUCAGUUCAUGGUUUGACUCUGAAACAAAUUGGAACCAGCCCUUUCCUGAAAAACCCCGUUUCUUCCUUGGAGACCAGUCUGCCUUUGCAGGACUAACAACUUAGCUACAACAUUAGAAAUCACAGUUUAGGGGUCAUGCAGUCUCUGGUUCCAAGAGUUUGAACCUCCCGAAAUUGCUCCUGGGGAUAAUAUCGGUAUUGUGAAACCUAAGAUCAGUGCUUAAGACCCUGCACUGGAUGGAUCAGCUGACACCACCCAGAGUGGUAAUCUGGCUCAACCAGUUCUGCCAUCCCUCCCAAGAACAGAAAACAGCAAAAAACAAACAAACAAACAAACAAACAAAAAAAACUCACUUCGACUCCCACUGCCCCCCAUGAUUCCAUCUCCAACCUGACCAAUCAGCACUCCCCACUUCCCAAGCCCCUACCUGCCAAAUUAUCUUUAAAAACACUUAUCAUCAAAUGGCUCAGGGAGAAUGAUUUGAGUAAUAAUAAAACUCUGGUCUCCCGCACAGCUGGCUCUUCCUGAUUUACUCUUUCUCCAUUGCAAUUCCCCUGUCUUGAUAAAUCGGCUCUGUCUAGGCUGCGGGCAAGGUGAACCCAUUGG